AGCAGAAUCAAGCUCAAACGCAUUGGAACAGCUUGUCCUCAUUUCUCAUGUACCUAUGCUACAAACUGUUCAUUUGUCUUCUUUAGAAAAGAUCUUUGAGAAGAUUUACUGGAACGAUAUGUUCACAGGACGACUACGCUGUGAAAUUCCACCAGGAUUGCUAAGUAGGUCAUCAUUGAAAUUUUGAAGCGAAAGUAUUCGCCCCACCAACCCCUCCAAUGCCCCCACCUUUAACUAUUUUCAGCUUCAAUUAUUUAACCUGAAGGAAAGGAGUCACGUCGGUGACCGAGCAGGAUCUGAGCGCGUGGGCCAUGUGCUGCAGUGGCAAUGGAGUGAGCGCGGUCCAGAGCGAAGUUGGCGGGUCAGACAUGGGUCAGAGCAAACCAGGAGGUGCCGGGUCCCCAGAGUGACGGAGGGGUCAAGGGGGCACGUCCUAGACCAGUGGAGGAGACACGUGCCCACAGUGACGGUGAGACGCGGUACCCAGAGCGACAGUGAGACCGUGUACCCAGAGUGACAGUGAGACCGUGUACCCAGAGUGACAGUGAGGCUGUGUACGCAGAGCAACGGUGAGACCGGGUAACCAGAGCGACAGUGAGACCCUGUACCCAGAGCGACAGUGAGGCCGUGUACCCAGAGCGACAAUGAGGCCGUGUACCUAGAGCGACAGUGAGGCCGUGUACCCAGAGCGAUGGUGCGGGCGUGUACCCAGAGCGACAGUGAGGCCGUGUACCCAGAGCGAUGGUGAGACCGUGUACCCAGAGCGACGGUGAGUCCGUGUAGCCAGAGCGACAGUGAGGCCGUGUACCCAGAGCGAUGGUGAGACCGUGUACCCAGAGCGACAGUGAGACCGUGUACCCAGAGCGACAGUGAGGCCGUGUACCCAGAGUGACGGUGAUACCGUGUACCCAGAGUGAUGGUGAGGCUGUGUACCCAGAGCGACAGUGAGACCGUGUACCCAGAGUGACGGUGAGAUCGUGUACCCAGAGCGACGGUGAGACUGUGUACCCAGAGUGACCGUGAGACCGUGUACCCAGAGCGACGGUGAGACUGGUUGAGCAGCAGCGCGAGCGGGAGCUUGGACCGGGGCCUGUUGGGAAGCCGGUGACUCACUGUUUUUGAAUCGUUAAAAAGCUUACCUUGUGAAUAGGCGGAGGGAAGCUGAGCAGGAGCCGAC